GUUCCGGGCGGGAGGUGUAGAGUCUCAACUCCUCACCAGGCGACCAGCCUCGGAAAUGCGGGCUGGUUUCUCAGCAGCAACAGUGAUUGCCACCUCCCGAGAUGAAGCGGCCAGCAGUAAGCAAGGGACGCUGCAGCCGCGCGUCCCGGCUCCUUGCCCCGCGCGGGGCUCCUGCUGUCGGCAGCAGCUGCUCUGACGGCGGCGGUGGCGGCAGCGGCAGCCACAGAGCACUUAGGGAACCCGGCGAGCCAGUCCACAUACUGCUCUGGCCAGGUGGCUGCUCAACCGCCGAUCGACGAUGAUAUUUUUUAAGGACAACUUCCUGGAUCCGCUAGGGCAAAUAAAGUCACCAGGGAGGAAGCCGCACUGAGAAUUAAAGACUCGUGCAGAAAUGAGCUCUGGAAGAAGGAGGGUCUUGCAGAGUCAGCACUGGAAUUAAUCGCAAGAUUAAGGCUAACGUACCCAGGCCUCGCCCCAGUUUUCUCCUCUUCUAACAUAAUCCCCAUCUGCAUCCUGGAUAACAUUGAAGACCGCUUACAAAUGACAAAAACCGGUAAAAAAGAAAGCAGGAAAUUAAAAUUCUCCUAUUCUGGUAACUCAUAAAACUCUUAAAAAUUGUCCCAUGAAUAUAACUUCUGUAACUGUCCAAUAA